rnacentral:rRNA from 1 species
CCGAACUGAGACCGGCUUUUUGGGAUUCGCUCCACCUUACGGUAUCGCAGCCCUCUGUACCGGCCAUUGUAGCAUGCGUGAAGCCCAAGACAUAAGGGGCAUGAUGAUUUGACGUCAUCCCCACCUUCCUCCGAGUUGACCCCGGCAGUCUCCCAUGAGUCCCCGGCAUAACCCGCUGGCAACAUAGGACGAGGGUUGCGCUCGUUGCGGGACUUAACCCAACAUCUCACGACACGAGCUGACGACAACCAUGCACCACCUGUGUACGAGUGUCCAAAGAGAACCCCGUCUCGGGGGCUUUCUCGUACAUGUCAAGCCUUGGUAAGGUUCUUCGCGUUGCAUCGAAUUAAUCCGCAUGCUCCGCCGCUUGUGCGGGCCCCCGUCAAUUCCUUUGAGUUUUAGCCUUGCGGCCGUACUCCCCAGGCGGGGCACUUAAUGCGUUAGCUGCGGCACGGAACUCGUGGAAUGAGCCCCACACCUAGUGCCCAACGUUUACGGCAUGGACUACCAGGGUAUCUAAUCCUGUUCGCUCCCCAUGCUUUCGCUCCUCAGCGUCAGUUGCGGCCCAGAGACCUGCCUUCGCCAUCGGUGUUCCUCCUGAUAUCUGCGCAUUCCACCGCUACACCAGGAAUUCCAGUCUCCCCUACCGCACUCUAGUCUGCCCGUACCCGAUGCAAGCCCGAGGUUGAGCCUCGGGAUUUCACACCAGACGCGACAGACCGCCUACGAGCUCUUUACGCCCAAUAAUUCCGGACAACGCUUGCGCCCUACGUAUUACCGCGGCUGCUGGCACGUAGUUAGCCGGCGCUUCUUCUGCAGGUACCGUCACUUGCGCUUCUUCCCUGCUGAAAGAGGUUUACAACCCGAAGGCCGUCAUCCCUCACGCGGCGUCGCUGCAUCAGGCUUGCGCCCAUUGUGCAAUAUUCCCCACUGCUGCCUCCCGUAGGAGUCUGGGCCGUGUCUCAGUCCCAGUGUGGCCGGUCGCCCUCUCAGGCCGGCUACCCGUCGACGCCUUGGUAGGCCAUCACCCCACCAACAAGCUGAUAGGCCGCGAGCCCAUCCCCCACCGAAAAACUUUCCAACCCACACCAUGCGAUGCGAGCUCAUAUCCGGUAUUAGACCCCGUUUCCAAGGCUUAUCCCGAAGUGGAGGGCAGGUUGCUCACGUGUUACUCACCCGUUCGCCACUGAUCCACCCAGCAAGCUGGGCUUCAC